UACGUAGGGUCCGAGCGUUGUCCGGAAUUAUUGGGCGUAAAGGGCUCGUAGGCGGUUCGUCACGUCGGGAGUGAAAACUCGGAGCUUAACUCCGAGCCUGCUUCCGAUACGGGCAGACUAGAGGUAGGCAGGGGAGAGCGGAACUCCUGGUGUAGCGGUGGAAUGCGCAGAUAUCUGGAGGAACACCGGUGGCGAAGGCGGCAUUCUGGACCGAUAUUGACGCUGAGGAGCGAAAGCCAGGGGAGCAAACGGGAU
rnacentral:rRNA from 1 species